UCUUCAUUCCUCGCACUCUCACCGGUCAAAGAGGCGAGAGAGUGUGCGAAAUGAAGAGA
rnacentral:pre_miRNA from 1 species